rnacentral:rRNA from 1 species
CACCUCUAGCAUUACAAGUAUUAGAGGCAUCGCCUGCCCAGUGACUGUAGUUAAACGGCCGCGGUAUACUGACCGUGCAAAGGUAGCAUAAUCACUUGUUCCUUAAUUAGGGACUUGUAUGAACGGCUGAACGAGGAUCCGACUGUCUCUUAUUUUUAAUCAGUGAAAUUGACCUUCCAGUGAAGAGGCUGGAAUUACUAAAUAAGACGAGAAGACCCUAUGGAGCUUAAAUUUAUAAACUUAUUUAUUAUAAUAGUACUCCUAAUGGAACAAAAACAGUAUUAUAAGCUUAAAAUUUCGGUUGGGGUGACCUCGGAGAACAAAAAAUCCUCCGAACGAUUAUAACAUAGACCAACAAGUCAAAGUAACUUAACUUUCCAAUUGACCCAAAAAUAAUUUGAUCAACGGACCAAGUUACCCUAGGGAUAACAGCGCAAUCCUAUUUAAGAGUUCAUAUCGACAAUAGGGUUUACGACCUCGAUGUUGGAUCAGGACAUCCCAAUGGUGCAGAAGCUAUUAAUGGUUCGUUUGUUCAACG